UUCCACAGCUUUCUUGAACUUCUUCUUGCUAAAUUUUGAUCUCUAAAUUGAUAAUUUUGAGAUGAAAUUUUUGAAGCUAUGAAAGUCCAAGAAAGCUGUGGGAAA